rnacentral:rRNA from 1 species
CGGGAGGCAGCAGUGGGGAAUCUUGCGCAAUGGGGGAAACCCUGACGCAGCGACGCCGCGUGCGGGAUGAAGGCCCUCGGGUUGUAAACCGCUUUCAGCAGGGACGAAGCGAAAGUGACGGUACCUGCAGAAGAAGCCCCGGCCAACUACGUGCCAGCAGCCGCGGUAA